GAUGAACGCUGGCGGCGUGCCUAAUACAUGCAAGUCGAGCGAACGGACGAGAAGCUUGCUUCUCUGAUGUUAGCGGCGGACGGGUGAGUAACACGUGGAUAACCUACCUAUAAGACUGGGAUAACUUCGGGAAACCGGAGCUAAUACCGGAUAAUAUUUUGAACCGCAUGGUUCAAAAGUGAAAGACGGUCUUGCUGUCACUUAUAGAUGGAUCUGGGCUGCAUUAGCUAGUUGGUAAGGUAACGGCUUACCAAGGCAACGAUGCAUAGCCGACCUGAGAGGGUGAUAGGCCACACGGGAACUGAGACACGGUCCAGACUCCUACGGGAGGCAGCAGUAGGGAAUCUUCCGCAAUGGGCGAAAGCCUGACGGAGCAACGCCGCGUGAGUGAUGAAGGUCUUCGGAUCGUAAAACUCUGUUAUUAGGGAAGAACAUAUGUGUAAGUAACUGUGCACAUCUUGACGGUACCUAAUCAGAAAGCCACGGCUAACUACGUG
rnacentral:rRNA from 1 species